CCCCUAGAUGUUCUGGGCCGCACGCGCGCUACACUGAACAGUUCAACAAGUCUUAACCUUGGCCGAUAGGUCUGGGUAAUCUUUGAACGCUGUUCGUGAUUGGGAUAGACCUUUGCAAUUAUGGGUCUUCAACGAGGAAUUCCUAGUAAACGCAAGUCAUCAGCUUGCAUUGAUUACGUCCCUGCCCUUUGUACACACCGCCCGUCGCACCUACCGAUUGAAUGGUCCGGUGAAAUCUCGGGACGGCGGCUCGGUCGCUUGCGUCCGACUGCUGAAACUUGAUUAAACCAUAUCAUUUAGAGGGAGGUGAAGUCGUAACA
rnacentral:rRNA from 1 species